GGGGCUGACUGGCUUUGACAGCGGGCAGAACCGACAUGUAAGCAUGCAGAGCGCUGUGGACGGGCUCUAAAAUCACGAUCCUCAAACAAUAACUGGCGAAUAUAACUUUGCUCUCGCUGCAUAACCGAAGUACAGUAGGUUAGCUUGAUUCCGGCACAAGGUGCUGGAACGGGACAUCUCCCAAAAGCCCGCGUCCUGAGGCAUUUUGAAACGGAGGUGCAGAUAAAUCGGGACUCGCCCGCCUUGGCUUCGCAGGACGGGUUAAACAACAGAAGAUAAGGACGCGGUUGGUGGUUCGGGUCUUGCCACGUCACGAAAAUGAAGUCCGGAAUAAGCAUGUAGAAAGCAUCUCGUUUCCCUGUUUGGACGAGGGUUCAAUCCCCUCCAGCUCCACAA
rnacentral:tmRNA from 1 species